rnacentral:rRNA from 1 species
UACGGAGGGGGCCAGCGUUGUUCGGAAUCAUUGGGCGUAAAGGGCGCGUAGGCGGCCGAUCAAGUCCGACGUGAAAUUCCCCGGCUCAACCGGGGGCCUGCGUCGGAUACUGCUCGGCUCGAGUCCCGGAGAGGGUAGUGGAAUUCCCAGUGUAGCGGUGAAAUGCGUAGAUACUGGGAGGAGCACCGGUGGCGAAGGCGGCUACCUGGACGGGUACUGACGCUGAGGCGCGAGAGCUAGGGGAGCAAACAGG